rnacentral:rRNA from 1 species
UAGGGAAUCUUCCACAAUGGACGAAAGUCUGAUGGAGCAACGCCGCGUGAGUGAUGAAGGGUUUCGGCUCGUAAAACUCUGUUGUUGGAGAAGAACGGGUGUCAGAGUAACUGUUGACAUCGUGACGGUAUCCAACCAGAAAGCCACGGCUAACUACGUGCCAGCAGCCGCGGUAAUACGUAGGUGGCAAGCGUUGUCCGGAUUUAUUGGGCGUAAAGCGAGCGCAGGCGGUUUUUUAGGUCUGAUGUGAAAGCCUUCGGCUUAACCGGAGAAGUGCAUCGGAAACCGGGAGACUUGAGUGCAGAAGAGGACAGUGGAACUCCAUGUGUAGCGGUGAAAUGCGUAGAUAUAUGGAAGAACACCAGUGGCGAAGGCGGCUGUCUGGUCUGCAACUGACGCUGAGGCUCGAAAGCAUGGGUAGCGAACAGGAUUAGAUACCCUGGUAGUCCAUGCCGUAAACGAUGAGUGC